AGUGAACGCUGGCGGCGUGCCUAAUACAUGCAAGUCGAACGGAGUGGCGCACGGGUGAGUAAUAUAUAGCUAAUCUGCCCCUUGAUGGCGGCAAACAGUUAGAAAUGACUGCUAAUACUCCAUAGCAAGGGAUGAGGCUAUAUCGUAACAGCUCGUCGGUGGGGUAAAGGCCGUACGAGGUUAUGACGCGUAACUGGUCUGAGAGGAUGAUCAGUCAAAUUGUAACUGAGGUACGGUCCAAACUCCUACGGGAAGGAGAAGUAUGGAAUUUUGCGGAAUGGGGGAGACCUUGACGCAGCAACGCCGCGUGGAGGAUGACACUUUUCGGAGAGUAAACUCCUUUUGUUAGGGAAGCGGUACCUAACGAAUAAGCACCGGCUAACUACGUGCCAGCAGCCGCGGUAAUAC
rnacentral:rRNA from 1 species